UGCUGUUUCGCUUAAACGCUUACCUUGCUAAACCCAAAUUCCCCCGCUGCGAAUGGGAUAUCUCUUUUAUCUCUAUCGCCAGAGAAAAGCUCCCACCUGGAAGGAAAGUUUCCAUAAGUUACACCCAGCAUGCAACACUCUGAUAAAGGGCAAGGUGACCCCAUGACCUGUGGGAGGUGUUCAACAACCACCUGGAGAUGCUGUGGGGACCUGGGUUCUGUGGGACUCAAUCAGCUGAUCAGGUUACCCUUGGGGCUGUUGCCUUCUUGUCCAGUCCCACCAAUACCAGACAGCCAUGGAGCAGAUCAACACAACAUUCAAACGCCAAGGUGAAGUACAGUAUCUCUGGGAGACUCCCAGUGACGGGCCCCAUUAGCAUAGUCUAGCGUUGUUGUUUUAUUUCUUGAUAUUUUCCCAGGGAAGAGAACACAUUCUCAUUUUCAGCAACAACCUCUGGAAUAGUUACAGGGAGGAGAGAGGUGGAUGGAGGAGCCAAACAGAAGCGGGGGAUGAUUAGACACCAGGAGGACGACGCUGACCUCACAGGGGGUGCGUCAUGGAGGCCAUCCAGCUCCAUGCCCUGGGACACUCACGCUCGGAGUGGUUCCGACCCCUGAAGAAACAGGCGGCACGUGGAACUCUUGCCUGAGUGUGCAUGUAUCUCUUCCAGAACUGCGUCCUUCCUUCAGGGGACCUGUUAUUGUUGUCUCCAUACUGGGCCCAUCGGAAACCGGAGGAGUUCAAACCUGAACGAUGGGAGAAGGCGGAUUUAGUAAAGAAUGUCUUUUUGGAAGGGUUUGUGGCAUUUGGAGGAGGACGAAACCAGUGCCCGGGAAGGUUAGAAAAACAGACAUUAUAGUUGUUUCUUCAGAAUACACACUAAUGUAGCUACUACCAUCCCGCUAAUAUAUGUUCCCUAAAGCACUGUCUCUUGACUUCUUAUUCAGCUUGUACAUUUAAUAAAACCCAGUCUAUUAAGAAUACUGGUUUACUGAUUGUCAUAAAGUUGGAAUUUACUGUGGACUGCUAAGACAUUCGAUUGAAUGUUUCUUGAAUGUUUGAUUUGGUGGUUGUUUAUUGCGGCCUGCUCCAGGCCUUUUUUGUUCACCAGUAAAAUAGGGAUUUACAGCAUGUUUGUUAAGACGACGUCUCAAAUGGAAAUCAUGUCAAAACCUUAUGUAUCCCUCUGGCUCUCUGCUUUUAAAUGUCAUCCCUCUGGGCUGUUAGAGGCAACCGUCGGCACAGGAACCGCUGGGACUAAACGCACUGCAGUCAGACGCCUGACAACGUUGUGUCAAUUUUACAAGACAGUCAGGGGGAAAGUUGGAGAAGUUCAGUGGAAACUUUGCAAAACAUUAUACAUUUUCAGUGAAACUGUUCAAUUGUUUUUAAUCUCAUUAACCAAAAUGGUUCAAGCUUUCUGCAGGAUAUUUAGUCAUUGCCACAUAAUUCAUACCUUUUCCUCAAUAAAUGGGCGCUACCACGAGCAGCACAGGCUGGCUAUCUGUAUACCAUUUGGCUACUAUUGCUAUUGCUUAGCGGGUCCCGAAUAUGCCUGCUGUGUAUGAGUGUCUCUGGAGAGAUGUCUGGCUCUCGGCUUGUAUCAUGUCUGUGGCCGUGUUGUGUUGUUGGCCCUGAAUGUCAACCCCUCUGUUCCCCUGGGGUGCUAGCUGGGACAACGGCAGUAUACCCAGAGGACAGUGACCAGGGGCAGCGUGACGUUAGUGGGGAAAGAUCAGGGCACGGAGGGACGUUCCCAGCUUGCACAAGAGGAUCAAAGACACAGGCGUGCUGGGGAGUGGGACUGACCUGCGAACCCUUUCCCUAGGACACACACACACAAAUACGGGGUCAGAGACCAAUGUGUUUCAUGUGUUUAUUUUGACAUGCUGAAAGCAAAAUGUCAUGUUUGGCCUUGAAUAUCUGCCUCUGCGGACAGAAAAGGUAUAAGCUGAGCAAUCAGCAGCCAACUUCUAACUCGCCACUGAGACUUGCUGUGGUGUUGAAGCUAGCAUGCCUGCAUCUCAGGAGAUAAUUCACACAGGAGGGCAUUGAAAUAAACACUAAGGCAGGGUGCAGUGGCAGAAAGAAAGCGAGAGCUGUGGAAAUAACUCUGUGGAGAGUGCAUGACACGCCCAAUAUUUUCCUCUUCCUUGACAGUAUAAUUUGAUGCUUAAGCAGUCUUGGUAGUCUGAUAAAGACCAGCAUGGCAGACACCCCGUGAAGCCACGGAUCUUUGGCUUUACUUCUUUUUCCCCAACCUUUUUCCCUUAGUCCUCUCUGCUGCUCCAUUCUUAAUUUAUCUCCCUUUCUUCUAAACUGUUGUUUGUUUCUCUCUCACUUUCUCUUUUCCUUCUAUCCUUCUCACUAUCUAGUUGGAGCAUUGCGCCAUUUCAGCUGUGAAUGUUAAAUGUCAUUGGAAUCAAGUAAGAGCACUGGUCCCUAGACCUUUCAUUUCCUCUUUUUUCAUUGGGACAGCUCUGGGCUAGCAGGGAAAGGCGACUCCAUUGUGUCCGAUAACCUGCUGGAGUGCUAACAAAGAUAUUGCCUCUUAGUGAGUGACUGAUCAAAAGGAAGACUGGGUCCUAUCUGGUUACCUGUAGUGUCUGUUUGUCUGUGUCCGAGGCAGUGUUUUUCUCUCAUGGACCCAUUGCCUAAAUCUGUGCUUUUGGGUGCCUGUUUCUAAAUGUGUGUAAUAAAAAAAGACAAAUUAGUAUGCCAAUACAGGUAUCUGAAGUGAAAUACUGUGGUGUGCCUACCUACUCUUCAUGCCUAUACUUCCCUGAGCAGUCUCCAUUUAGUAGGGACCCAGCACGCUGACACCUCCAGCACAGUUAAGUGCAGACACCAAUAGAGCUACCCUGCCCUGCCCUGCCCUGCCACACCAGUGUGCUGUGCUCAACAUUUCUCCAAAACCCCUGACGAAAAAAAUGAGGUGAGGGUGGUUUUGUCAACGGAGCUACUUUCAGCAAGGUAUUUACAAAAGCUCUGUCCUGUUGUUUUUUUAUUCACUGUAUUUUAAAGGAAUUACAGUGUGGAUGAGACGGCUUG